rnacentral:tRNA from 1 species
UGCUUAUUAGUUUAUAAAUAAAAUACAGAUUUUGUAAAUCUGAGAUUAAAAGGCAAGU